rnacentral:lncRNA from 1 species
AGACGAAGAUCCACAUCAGUUUCGCGUCACAGAUCACCCUCUCCUAUGCGGCGUAGAUUGCGUUCUCCAGGGCGACGCAGAUCACAAACUCCUGUGCGACGUAGAUCUCCACGCAGGUCACCACCUGGAUGGCGUAGAUCCCGUUCACCUGGACGACGCAGAUCCCGUUCACCUGGACGACGCAGAUCCCGUUCUCCUGGGCGACGCAGAUCCCGUUCUCCUGGGCGACGUAGAUCCCGUUCUCCUGGGCGACGUAGAUCUCCAUCUCCUUUGCGGCGUAGAUCUCUAUCACCUGCAUGGCGUGGAUCCCCCCCUCCUUUGAGGCGCAGAUCACCAACGCCGAAACGACGUAGGUCACCAACUUAUAAGUUACCUUCUCCUGUUCGACGGUGGCGUCGAAGAUCUCCAACUCCCCGGCACAGGUCUCCAUCGCCAGUAAGACGUAGGUCUCCAAUACCUGCCCGUCGGAGAUCACCGUCUCCUUUUCGACGAAGAUCCCCUUCAUCAAAUGGAUGGAGUUCAUCCUCUCCUAUUAGACAUAGGUCUCCUUCACCAGUCCAAAGGAAAUCCCCAAAGCGCCAGAGGAGGUCACCUGUGCAAUCCCCUAGAGAAAGAAUCAGGUAUAGCCACCAUUAGCUAUUUAUUUCUCUUGAUGAUUCUGUUGAUAAGUUAUUUUGUUGGGGUUUAUUGUGUGAGGUGCUUUUGUGGUUAGUGGAUAGAAUUGAAACUCCAGGGGCCCCACAAUAUCCGUACAAGUGCCUUACUGGAACAAUAAUACUACAAGCUGAAUCAUAGUUCUUUGGGUGCAGUUUGUGUUAUCCACACCAAUGGUGUGGAUUCCAGAAGAUACUUCCAUGAGCAUGCCCAUGUUGAACUUCCAAUAAGUUUGCUUUUAAUGUUUGGUUUCGUAUGUUAGUGUUACUGUCUUACAAAAACAUGUUACAG